AUCUCCAGUAGUUCUGGAAUAUUGGAACAUAUUCAAACAAAAGUGACAACCCAGAGUAUUGCAACCCAGUGAGAAAUACGUGUUACUACUUGAAACUUUUCCAGUUGUUAGUCUAGAACUAGUGUCAAGUGAUUGCACAUGUAUUAAAAUACCUCUAAGCAUUAUAAGCUAAAAUCUACAAAAAAAAUCUCUAUUUUGAAUGGAUAAUUUCUUAAACGAUGUUAAAUCUACACAGACACAGUAACAAUCUGAUCUCUCUUUCUUUUCCCCACAUUUCCCCCUUUUCUAUUCCACAAAACCGCCAUCGUCAUCAUGGCCCGUUCUCAAUGAGCUGUUGGGUACACCUCCCUGACGGAGUGGCGGUGGGGCAGAGGGGCUCCUCACUUCCCAGACGGGGCGGCCGGGCAGAGGUGCCCCCCACCUCCCAGACGGGGCGGUGGCCGGGUGGGGGCUGCCCCCGACCUCCCUCCUGGACGGGGCGGCUGGCCUGGCGGGGGCUGUAUUGUGAACAUUUUUAAGUACGGUCUGAAAUACUCUUUCAGUCAGUCAACAAAUAAGUACUCCUAUGAAGUACAAAGCUAUGAUGGCAAACCUCGUUAAGGUUCUAAGAGAAAGAAACCACUGGGCAUCUCAACUUGAUUAGUUCAUGAGUACAUUCCAGCAUUCCUGAAUUUCUAAUUGCUGUUACCCACAUAAGAAAGCCUCAGUGCUAAACACAGUUAUU
rnacentral:lncRNA from 1 species